UGAAUCAGUAGUACGGUGG
rnacentral:misc_RNA from 1 species